rnacentral:rRNA from 1 species
UACGUAGGGUGCAAGCGUUGUCCGGAAUUAUUGGGCGUAAAGAGCUCGUAGGCGGUCUGUCGCGUCGGCUGUGAAAACUCGGGGCUCAACCCCGAGCUUGCAGUCGAUACGGGCAGGCUAGAGUUCGGCAGGGGAGACUGGAAUUCCUGGUGUAGCGGUGAAAUGCGCAGAUAUCAGGAGGAACACCGGUGGCGAAGGCGGGUCUCGUGGGCAGUAACUGACGCUGAGGAGCGAAAGCGUGGGGAGCAAACAGG